rnacentral:rRNA from 1 species
UACGUAGGGUGCAAGCGUUGUCCGGAAUUAUUGGGCGUAAAGAGCUCGUAGGCGGUUUGUUGCGUCGGCUGUGAAAUCCCGAGGCUCAACCUCGGGUCUGCAGUCGAUACGAGCAAACUAGAGUGUUGCAGGGGAGACUGGAAUUCCUGGUGUAGCGGUGAAAUGCGCAGAUAUCGGAAGGAACACCAGUGGCGAAGGCGGCUACCUGGACAAACACUGACACUGAGGCGCGAGAGCGUGGGGAGCAAACAGG